AAGUAGACAAGCAGAAAUAUGCGGCAAAAGAUCAGGAUUUGUGAACUGUAAGUUGAUGGGCCAGGGAGACUGGUUAAAACUGCUGCGUGGUUUGUGUUGAGGAUGGAUGCACAACAUGGAUAAAAUUCAGUCUCAGAAAGUUAGAUCCCAUUGCAUUUGCCUAUUGAGUUUCUCCUUCAAGUGUUUGCCAGUGUGAGUGUGGUACAAUGAGCGAAAAUUGAAGAAGGGAAUGUGCCUCUUUUGCUUGGGUCUCAACCAGAGCAUGGAGUCAUCAGUGCACAAGUGAAGCAAGGAACACAAGAAAAGGAUGAACUAUGAGAUUCUGGCUAUUUCCUACUGCUAUAUGUGAAGAAAGCUCUGUCCAGGCCCUUCUCCAUCCCUACUGAGGAGAUGAGCUGCAAAUGGAUUCCAAAGGCAUCAUUUCUCAUGUAUCAUUCUGCACUGCUUCAUGCUUCAAAUAAAAUUGGCACAUUAACUUGGAAGAGGAGAGAAAAGGACAGUGGAGGAAGGCAGCUGAGCAGAGAGAUGAAGCUAAGCAGAAUCCGAAAGUUUACAGCACUGAAAUGGACUAUCUGCACAAGUACCAGGAAAUGGCAUCAGCCAACUGUCAGUUAGAAACAAGGACAGAAUGGCUGCAAACUUAAGUGAUUUGUACUUUGGCCUUUGAAACAGGAGUAUAUACAGAAGAAACUAGAAGAAGCAGCAGAAGCAUAUAGGCUGGAGAGAGAUUCCAAAUACUGCAAUGCCAGUAAAGUUAAAUAGAGAGUGACUAACAGGGUAUUGAUACAAGCAUUGGAAGGGGAUGGUUUAAUUCUGAGGGCAAUGGUAACUGCACCACCUACGUUGAAAGCAGCCAGAAGAGCAUGUUUGACUACACUGUGCACAGGGUUGCCUUUCUUUUGCUAGAAAGACUUUGAAAAACCGAGUCAUCUUUGAAAAGCAGAACAUAGACUUGAGUAGCAGAGGAAAGAGUUUGACAACUUGCAGACUUCUUGCAGUCUCAUAAAAAAGCUAAAAAAAAAAAACUUCUACAGGAGAGCUGUAGAGAUGUAGAUGAGUUCAGCCAUAUGUUGCUAAAAUGAUUAGGGAAAAUAAAUCUAUAGAAACAUGUUCAGAAGGCAUGAUUUAACAGAUAAUAUUUCAGCUGUAAAACCACUUACUGUGAACAGAUUAGAUUCUUGUUGCUAGUUGGUUGAUUUCACAAGCCUUCAAUGUGUUAGCAGUAUUAGUUUUGGAUAGUAAGGGCUUGUCUACAAAGGAAGUGACUGCAAGGUAAGCAUAAAGAUAUGAUACUGUAGUAUGCGGGGCUUUUCUGCAUUAAUUACUCUGUAGGCUAACUAUGAGCAAAAAGCAAAAACUAACCAAUUCCACUUUCAAUAGUUUUUCAGACAGUGCAUUGAGACCUCCAGAGGAUGAAAGACAUUCAGAAACAAUCUGAUCCUUCUCCUGGUCUCUAUCCACUCUCUGCAGACUGUCUUCGUCAAGGUCAUUUGUCUUCAGCCACCUCUCAAAAAACAAAACAAACAAACAAACAACAACAACAACAACAAAAAAGCCACAUGCUUCUCAUCUCUGUGACAGCACUGUUGCUUUUAAAUGGCAAAUAAAAACUGUAAGAGAGAGUUUUUGCUGUAGGAAGGGGUCUUUAACCUGAAAACAUUGGGAAGGAAUCAUCUGUGUUAUAUUUAAAGGAGGCUAAAGAAUGGAAAGGCAAGAAACCCUCACGCUUAGAGGCAUAAAUGAGCCACUCUGUGAGCUAAUCAAUCACAUCUAAAGAAGUCAUCCCAGAAUUUUCCCUUACGUCUUUUUCUUGUACUUUCUAUAGAGGCUGUCCACUUUCAAAGACAGAACUUUAGACAAAAUGGGCCAUGCUUCUCCCCUGAACAGCAGAUCCAGUGCUCACAGUCAAGGCAAUUUACAGCACAGCUGUUGUCUUUUGGUCCUGUGGCAUUUCCCUAUGUCAUCCUCUGAUAAGGUUUUGUGCUGAAAUCCAGCAGCACAGGUCCGUUGGAGUUUGAGCCAUGAUAUUGAACAAGAACCUGUUCUACAGUACCUGUUAAAAGAGAAUCAAAACAAAGCCUGUGGACACCACUAACUUGUGAUUAUCUUCCUUGAAAACACCCAUAUUGCACUGUAGUUGUAAAAAAGUGUUACACAUUCUACCUGUUAAUAAUGGUCAUAACACUAUUGUUUUAGUUCAGUAAGCUUUAUGUUUAAAACAGUAUUGCCAUCUUGUGGUUCUGACAAGUUUCAUCAAUCUGUUUCUUUCUGCAGCCAUUUUUUUCUUUAUUGUGUUGACAAGAAUUCCUGAAAUGCCAUGGUACAUAAAAUGGAACUGGUAUUGUACUCCUGCAAAAUGUGCAUAGAACAAUAUAAUAAAAUAAAGCCUGUAUCUGAACGUCAAAAA